rnacentral:rRNA from 1 species
CAGCAGCCGCGGUAAAACGUAGGGUGCAAGCGUUAAUCGGAAUUACUGGGCGUAAAGCGUGCGCAGGCGGUUCUAUAAGACAGAUGUGAAAUCCCCGGGCUCAACCUGGGAACUGCAUUUGUGACUGUAGAGCUGGAGUGCGGCAGAGGGGGAUGGAAUUCCGCGUGUAGCAGUGAAAUGCGUAGAUAUGCGGAGGAACACCGAUGGCGAAGGCAAUCCCCUGGGCCUGCACUGACGCUCAUGCACGAAAGCGUGGGGAGCAAACAGGAUUAGAUACCCGUGUAGUCCCUGUCUCUUAUAC